rnacentral:tRNA from 1 species
GGCCUCAUGGUGGAAGUGGUCAACACACCUGGCUUUCAACCAGGAGAGUGCCGGUUCAAACCCGGCUGAGGUCACCA